UGCGCUUAAAAUAUUGAAAUAAGAUGCUCGUACGAACCUCCUCGAAUUCUCGUUCAAUUCCUCGUCCUCUUUUGUUGCCUCCCAUUCGCGGCAUUCUUUUUCUCGCAUGCGCACCACUUUUACCUUCUCCCCUAUUCUGUCAUUUUCGACGUGCUUCCCUUCGUAUUAUCUCCACCGACCGUCCUUUUACUUUCACAUCUUUUACUUCCUUUUUAGAAAUUUCAUUUUAGAUGUUUCUUGCCCGAACAUAACAUUAGUUUUACUUUUUUCCUUUUUCUUUCUCGACAGACUUCAGACGCUAUUUUUCUUUUUGUAGUUGAAACUCACACGAUGAAUUAAAGAUGACUGGUCGAAGCAGUUCAACUUUUUCGGCCGGAUGCAUUGUGCCCGUUUUUUCCCCCGGUUUAAUCAACUCCUCGCUGAUUUUUUCAUCUUUCCUUUCCUACCUUCGUACGUCUUUCCACGAGGGUCAACAUUCUGAGAGGAACGCGGACUCCCGAAGCCUCUAAAGUACACGCAAUUUUUUUAUUCAAAAGUAAAAAACAAUAUAAAUUGAUUGAAAAAGAAAGGAAGAGUUGGUUAAACGCAACAUUGAUUCAUUAAGGGUUUACAUACCUUUGGGGGAUUAAAUAAGAAGGAAAAUUAACAAAUUUGUUUGGGCAGUCUAAUACUUAGAAAAUGAAAAAUUACAAUUAAAUUGGAGCUCUGACCAUGAUCUGCUGUCCGAGGAUUAAGGAGUUACAUUCCUUUAAAUCAUUAAAUAAGAAGUUCUGUGAACAAUAAACAAUUUUUAAACAAAA